AUUGAACGCUGGCGGCAGGCUUAACACAUGCAAGUCGAACGAGUGGCGGACGGGUGAGUAAUGUCUGGGAAUCUAGCUGAUGGAGGGGGAUAACUACGGGAAACUGUAGCUAAUACCGCGUACCAUAGGAUGAGCCCAAGUGGGAUUAGGUAGUUGGUGAGGUAACGGCUCACCAAGCCGACGAUCCCUAGCUGGUCUGAGAGGAUGACCAGCCACACUGGAACUGAGACACGGCCCAGACUCCUACGGGAGGCAGCAGUGGGGAAUAUUGCGCAAUGGGGGCAAGCCUGACGCAGCCAUGCCGCGUGAAUGAAGAAGGCCUUCGGGUUGUAAAGUUCUUUCGGUAGCGAGGCGUUACCUGCAGAAGAAGCACCGGCUAACUCCGUGCCAGCCGCCGCGGUAAUUC
rnacentral:rRNA from 1 species